GACGGGGGAUGCAAGUGUUAUCCGGAAUAAUUGGGCGUAAAGCGUCUGUAGGUGGUUUAUCAAGUCUGUUGUUAAAAGUUAGGGCUUAACCCUAAUAUGGCAACAGAAACUAAUAGGCUUGAGUACGGUAGGGGCAGAGGGAAUUCUCGGUGUAGUGGUGAAAUGCGUAGAUAUCGAGAAGAACACCAACAGCGAAAGCACUCUGCUGGGCCGAAACUGACAUUGAGAGACGAAAGCUAGGGGAGCGAAAGGG
rnacentral:rRNA from 1 species